rnacentral:rRNA from 1 species
UAGGUAACCUGCCUUGUAGCGGGGGGAUAACUAUUGGAAACGAUAGCUAAUACCGCAUAACAAUGGAUGACACAUGUCAUUUAUUUUGAAAGGGGCAAUUGCUCCACUACAAGAUGGACCUGCGUUGUAUUAGCUAGUAGGUGAGGUAAUGGCUCACCUAGGCGACGAUACAUAGCCGACCUGAGAGGGUGAUCGGCCACACUGGGACUGAGACACGGCCCAGACUCCUACGGGAGGCAGCAUG